GGCGACUUGGUGCUAAUUAAGACUUGGAAGGAAGACAAUCUCCACCCAAGCUGGGAAGGUUCCUAUCAAGUGCUCGUGAUCACUGAGACAGCCGUAGGAACAGCUGAACGGGGUGGACACUCACACUCGGGUCAAGAGACUGGUAAAAGAAACCCCAGAAGGAAGGGAAAAAGGAACUUUGCUCUGGUGGAGGAAACAAACAUGGACACAUUGUGAGAGUUCCAGGAAGUGGCCACUUGGAGGUGGUAUCAAAGUGCUGUGGGAAUCCACUUGGGAUUGCUGGGAGGGAGAAGAAGAAUGAGUGAAAAGGGAAAAGCCCCUUUUAAAACUUUGCUCUGGUGGAGGAGACAA
rnacentral:lncRNA from 10 species